AGUGAACGCUGGCGGUAGGCCUAACACAUGCAAGUCGAACGGCAGCACAGAGGAGCUUGCUCCUUGGGUGGCGAGUGGCGGACGGGUGAGGAAUACAUCGGAAUCUACUCUGUCGUGGGGGAUAACGUAGGGAAACUUACGCUAAUACCGCAUACGACCUACGGGUGAAAGCAGGGGAUAUUCGGACCUUGCGCGAUUGAAUGAGCCGAUGUCGGAUUAGCUAGUUGGCGGGGUAAAGGCCCACCAAGGCGACGAUCCGUAGCUGGUCUGAGAGGAUGAUCAGCCACACUGGAACUGAGACACGGUCCAGACCCCUACGGGAGGCAGCAGUGGGGAAUAUUGGACAAUGGGCGCAAGCCUGAUCCAGCCAUACCGCGUGGGUGAAGAAGGCCUUCGGGUUGUAAAGCCCUUUUGUUGGGAAAGAAAUCCAGCCGGCUAAUACCUGGUUGGGAUGACGGUACCCAAAGAAUAAGCACCGGCUAACUUCGUGCCAGCAGCCGCCGUAAAAC
rnacentral:rRNA from 1 species